rnacentral:rRNA from 1 species
UGAACGCUAGCGACAGGCCUAACACAUGCAAGUCGAGGGGCAGCACAAGGAGCAAUCUGAGGUGGCGACCGGCGCACGGGUGAGUAACACGUAUGCAACCUGCCUGUAAGCGGGGAAUAACCCGUUGAAAGACGGACUAAUACCGCAUAAUACUAAAUUACUGCAUGGUAAUUUAUUUAAACAUUUAUGGCUUACAGAUGGGCAUGCGCAUGAUUAGCUAGUUGGAGAGGUAACGGCUCCCCAAGGCAACGAUCAUUAGGGGUUCUGAGAGGAAGGUCCCCCACACUGGUACUGAGACACGGACCAGACUCCUACGGGAGGCAGCAGUGAGGAAUAUUGGUCAAUGGACGAGAGUCUGAACCAGCCAAGUCGCGUGCAGGAAGAAUGUUCCCUAUGGAUUGUAAACUGCUUUUGCGAGGGGAAAUAAAGUGCAUCACGUGUGAUGUUUUGUAUGUACUCUGCGAAUAAGGAUCGGCUAACUCCGUGCCAGCAGCCGC